CGAAAACUUUGCAAUACACGAAAGUGUGACAGGGCUAUCCCGAGUGCCAUCCGCUGAGGAAGGCUUUUACCCAGUCUAGAACGCUGGGGGAAUAAGGAGAGGGCAAGUCUGGUGUCAGCCGCCGCGGUAAUACCAGCUCUCCGAGUGGUGUGGAUGUUUAUUGGGCCUAAAGCAUCCGUAGCUGGCUAAGUUAGUCCCUUGUUAAAUCCACCGAAUUAAUCGUUGGAUUGCGGGGGAUACUGCUUGGCUAGGGGACGAGAGGGGCAGACGGUAUUUCCGGGGUAGGGGUGAAAUCCUAUAAUCCCGGGAAGACCACCAGUGGCGAAGGCUGUCUGCUAGAACGCGCCCGACGGUGAGGGAUGAAAGCUGGGGGAGCGAACCGGAUUAGAUACCCGGGUAGUCCCAGCUGUAAACGAUGCAGGCUAGGUGUUUGGACGGCCACGUGCCGUUCUAGUGCCGCAGGGAAGCUGUUAAGCCUGCCGCCUGGGGAGUACGAUCGCAAGAUUGAAACUUAAAGGAAUUGGCGGGGGAGCAC
rnacentral:rRNA from 1 species